rnacentral:rRNA from 1 species
CAGUCGUACCUUCGGGUAAUCAGCCUUUCGAGUGCGAUUCUGUGGAGUGUGAGGAGCUAAACACCUUCAUGCCUUUGAAAGGGAACGAUUGAAGUCAGUCGUACCUGCGGACAAUCAGCUUUUUGAGUGUGAUUAUGUGGAUUGUGAGGAGUUUAAUCACCC